rnacentral:rRNA from 1 species
CAAGACCAAAGUGGGGGACCUUCGGGCCUCAUGCCAUCAGAUGUGCCCAGAUGGGAUUAGCUAGUAGGUGGGGUAAUGGCUCACCUAGGCGACGAUCCCUAGCUGGUCUGAGAGGAUGACCAGCCACACUGGAACUGAGACACGGUCCAUACUCCUACGGGAGGCAGCAGUGGGGAAUAUUGCACAAUGGGCGCAAGCCUGAUGCAGCCAUGCCGCGUGUAUGAAGAAGGCCUUCGGGUUGUAAAGUACUUUCAGCGAGGAGGAAGGCAUUAAGGUUAAUAACCUUGGUGAUUGACGUUACUCGCAGAAGAAGCACCGGCUAACUCCGUGCCAGCAGCCGCGGUAAUACGGAGGGUGCAAGCUUUAAUCGGAAUUACUGGGCGUAAAGCGCACGCAGGCGGUCUGUCAAGUGGGAUGUGAAAUCCCCGGGCUCAACCUGGGAACUGCAUUCGAAACUGGCAGGCUAGAGUCUUGUAGAGGGGGGUAGAAUUCCAGGUGUAGCGGUGAAAUGCGUAGAGAUCUGGAGGAAUACCGGUGGCGAAGGCGGCCCCCUGGACAAAGACUGACGCUCAGGUGCGAAAGCGUGGGGAGCAAACAGGAUUAGAUACCCUGGUAGUCCACGCCGUAAACGAUGUCGACUUGGAGGUUGUGCCCUUGAGGCGUGGCUUCCGGAGCUAACGCGUUAAGUCGACCGCCUGGGGAGUACGGCCGCAAGGUUAAAACUCAAAUGAAUUGACGGGGGCCCGCACAAGCGGUGGAGCAUGUGGUUUAAUUCGAUGCAACGCGAAGAACCUUACCUACUCUUGACAUCCAGAGAACUUAGCAGAGAUGCUUUGGUGCCUUCGGGAACUCUGAGACAGGUGCUGCAUGGCUGUCGUCAGCUCGUGUUGUGAAAUGUUGGGUUAAGUCCCGCAACGAGCGCAACCCUUAUCCUUUGUUGCCAGCGGUUCGGCCGGGAACUCAAAGGAGACUGCCAGUGAUAAACUGGAGGAAGGUGGGGAUGACGUCAAGUCAUCAUGGCCCUUACGAGUAGGGCUACACACGUGCUACAAUGGCAUAUACAAAGAGAAGCGACCUCGCGAGAGCAAGCGGACCUCAUAAAGUAUGUCGUAGUCCGGAUUGGAGUCUGCAACUCGACUCCAUGAAGUCGGAAUCGCUAGUAAUCGUAGAUCAGAAUGCUACGGUGAAUACGUUCCCGGGCCUUGUACACACCGCCCUCACACCAUGGGAGUGGGUUGCAAAAGAAGUAGGUAGCUUAA